CGGCAGCCUCGGCGGUCUGGGCGGGGCGGGAAGCCCGCUUUCAACCCCGCGUACCCUCUGACCCCGGAAGUGCUUGCUGCGCAGGACCCCUUGAAAAAAAAUGAGGACCCGUCUUUUUUAGGUCACAAGAUUGCGCCAACCCUUACAUGGUCCUUAAAAAAAAAACCUUCUGACACUGCAGUAGUGAAAAUGAAGCGCACGAUGGGCGGAAGCUGUGAGUCCGGCAAAGUUUUAAAAUGAUGACGUAUUUUAUUAACUCUAACGGCACUGGCGGGUGACUGAAAAUACUAGUGCUGUGUAUGCGGGAUAGACAUUAUUUUCCUGCCCUACAUGAGGGGCUCGUGCGCGGAACGACAUGGGCAGCCCCGGCGGAAACUGCAGGCACAAGCCGGGACGCCGCGGGUUUAAAACAUGCGCGUGAGGUGACCAGAGCGCGUGCGCGAGGGUGUGGGGGGAUGGGAGGGGCAGCAGCCCUCUUCCGGGGGGGAGGGGCGGCGAGGCGAGGCCUGCGGAGCGGGUGCGCGCGGGCGGGCACGUGGGGCCCUUUCGUCCCCGGCGUCCGGGCGCCCUGCAUGGAUCCCCCACCCCAGCUCCUGCUCCCCGGCGGCGGCCGGUGGGCAGAAAGACCGAAACCCACUCACGGCCGCCUGCCGAAUCGCGGCUCUGCUGUUUGUGGGGCGUGCUAGAAACGUGGUCCUAAAAAGAAUGGCGUCCAUUUACAUAAUGCUUUGUUUGCGUUUCGCAAGUUUCUUUCGGUUAAAGCCACAGAAACCCCACCUCCUGCCCUUGUGUCGUUUCCACCGCGGCACCCUUUUCCGACAUUAGAAACAAUAGUGUACGCCUGUGGAGGCCUCGUUUGUUCAGGGGCUGCCGGCCAGGGCUUCAGGACGUUUCUGCGGCUUUCCCCGCGCGGCCUGGGCUCCCGCGGCUGCUUUUCGGGCCCAUGGGCGCAGCCACUGCGCCAGGCUCAAGGGGGGCGGCCCCGUCAGGGCCCGCCAUCUUGGAAGGCCUUUUUUGCCGGUUCUUCCCGCUGAGGAAGUGUCGCUCAAGACGCUGGCCUAUGAGUUGUGAUUUCUGCCUUUUCCCCUUCCUCCUUGGGCUAAGCCAGACCAGAAAGGGCCCCGUGCGCAACGUGCUUCACAAUCUCUCAGGGAAAGCGGCUAACGUGGCGCUACUCCGCCUCCCCUGUUCCUUACCCUUGGGGCGGCCGCCAUGUUUCCUGAACACAAAAUGGCGACACGUGGUUAGCAUUCGUCGCCAACGAGAAAUUGGGGUCGGCCCGAAAGCUCUAGAAUGCACCCCUCUUCCUCCCCGGGGCCUUCCACCUCCGCGAGUUUUAUGACUUAAAAAAGCCCACAGGCUGGUCUGAAGAGGAAGACAAACAUAAAGAUGAAGUGCUUAAUUCAAGGUCACACAAUGUCGGGGAUGGACCUCCAGAUUUCCUUACUGACCUGCAUUAUCUUGUGGAUACCUGAGUGAAUUCCACACCACCCAUUUUAUAGAUGAAACCACUGAGACAUGGAGCAAUUGACUGAGUAGUCACUGCCCCACCCCUGCCUGGAGCCUCACACAUGACUCGCCUCCUCUCAGUGACCACAGGUGAGACGUGGUCUUGUAACACAGUGGUUAAGAAUGUGACUUUGGAGCCAGCCUGCUAGGGGCUGAAUUCUGACUCAGCCAUUUACUAACUGUGUGACCUUAGGGAGGAGGACCUGGUUGAUAGAAGAAUUUAUCUCGUAGUCUUAACAUCCACUGUAAUUCCAAACUUUGAGGACGAUAGAGAUCAGUGGGCUUUGACUGCCCAGCAUGCAGUCUCCAUUCUUAGGUGGGUUCCCAAGCCUGUAAAAUGUAAGCCUUAUGCUGCUGAGGGCCAUCUUGCCACCCUGAGGGAAACGCUGCCUGAGAAUGAAACAAGCAUAAGUAAAAGCUGAGCUGUGAGAUGGAGCAAGAUGAAGGCCACAUGACAUCUUUGGAGCACCUGGAUCUAACUGUGCCUUAAGCUAGUCUAACCCUGAACAUUUCAUCAUUUCAUUGACAUGAGCCCAGGUUUUCUUUUUUUUUGGAUGGAGUCUUGCUCUGUCGCCCAGGCUGGAGUGCAGUAGCUCAAUCUCGGCUCACUGCAAGCUCCACCUCCCGGGUUCACGCCAUUCUCCUGCCUUAGCCUCCCAAGUAGCUGGGACAACAGGCGCCCACCACCACUCCCAGCUAAUUUUUUGUAUUUUUAGUAGAGACGGGGUUUUACCAUGUUAGCCGGGAUGGUCUUGAUCUCCUGACCUCAUGAUCCGCCCGCCUCGGCCUCCCAAAGUGCUGGGAUUACAGGUGUGAGCCACUGCACCCAGCCCUCAGGUUUUCCCUUUUUUUACCCCUCCUUUUGAAAAUUUGAUGUGGAAUUUUGCCACCUGCAGCCAGAAGAGUUUUAACUAAUCAGUGCCAUAAAUUUUAUAUAGUUCUCCUUGCAAAAUGUGGAUCAGCCUUUCUCAGCAAAUCCUUUGUCAUAAAGUGCUGAAUUGUAAGUUUGUCAUGAGAAUCACAUGAGAUCAUGCAUGUGAAGAACCUGGCAUUAUCCUCCUCAUAGAAAAAAACCAGUAAAUAUUAACUACAGGAAGCAAGGAAGGAGUGGGGUGAGGGGAAGAAGAAGGGGUACUGAUUUAAAAGAACCCUGGAGUCCUAAGGAUAAUCUAGGAACCCUCAGACCCAAUCCGAUACCCCUAUUCUAAAUGCUCCUAGUGCCCUGUACCUUCCCCUCAUAAGCCUUCAUUAUCAUUGUAAUGAUAUGUUUAUGUAAUAUUUUGAUUAAUGUCUCUCCUUCACUGACCUAGCAGUUCUAGCAGGGCAGUGAUUUUGCUGUGUUGCAUCCCCAGCACCUAGUCUGGUAUGUGGCAUUCAGCAUAUGUUUAUUGAAUGAAUGGCCAUGUGGUUAUUCAGAUCCUCCUUGAUUAUUGGGGUUAGGAUUGUGGCAGAAGUGGCAAAAUCAGGGAGAGUAGUCCCUGUCCCCUCUGUAUCUUAUACACUGCCCACACUCCCAACACACAUACACAUACAGAGAAUUUUGUCUCAAUUAGAUAAUUAACUUCUGCUUGGUUGUAAACCAAACCACUGGUUCUUAAACUUUCAUUGGAUCAUUUUAUUGAAGAAUUAAAUAGUGUGGUUCUGGCCUAAUGUCUGGAAAGCCUUGCAGAGGAGUGGAUUAGGUCUUUGUGAUAAACAGGCAGCCUUCCCUGCUCCUGUGUCUUUAUAAAAUCUAUUUAACUGGAGUAGUCCACCCUCCCUCAGGCUCUUACAGGAAUAUGUUGGAGGCUGUAGGAAGGUGGGAAACCGAGAGGGAAAGGACUGGGCCGCUGGAGACUUCACUCAUUCCCUAGCAAGAAACAAAAGCAGUAAAAGGUGGCCCGAGGACAACCUGAAGCUCACUCCUUCAGCACUUUUGGCUGGAGGUCACUUGUUGGAGCCCCACUCAGAGCUCAGCACACCACCCCACCAGCAGCCUCCUCCUCCCAGCUGAGGCUGCAUUUCAUCCCUUCCCCCAGCCUGCUUUCCCUGAGAUAGGGGAGUGUUUCCCAGGGCCCAUGUGACUUCCACUGGCAAGUGACGAUUACCAAUGGUUUACUAGUCAGUGAAACUACCAAAGGCUUUUGUGCUGUAGUAAUCCUUUUCCUGUUUAAAACUCUGGGGAUUUUCUAAUGUUGCCAAUAGUUUUUCAAGUCAGCAAUUACUGUGUGGAUUAUGUAAUGGCUCGGUAUUAAAAAUAGAAAAGACUGGAGUUUGCAUCUAUUUUAACCAAAUCUUGAAAACAGAGCAAAGGGAGGGGAAGGGUGGAGAGGGAGAGACCAGAGGAGGAGGGAGAAAAAGAGAUCAUGUGACUGGAUAAGACAGCUCACAAUUCACUGUGCCUUUCUCCCACCAUUUGUGGCCCAAGGACCUGUACUCCCUCCUCAGCCUCCUCUAGGGAGGGGUCCUUGAUGAGAAUUCUGAGGACACAAGACCCCUUGUGGAUAUUUCUUAGCUCAGCCUUGGUGUGCUUACCUGCUUCUGACAAGCAAAGUGGCCAAGUAGGGGAGGGAGUUGAAUCUGAUGUCCUCCACUAAGUCCAG
rnacentral:lncRNA from 10 species